GAGCCGUUAACGGCCGCACAGGUCGCGCGGCGGCGUUUCGGGCUCGAGUGCGGGGCGGGCCGCUCGCUCGCACCUGCGGCGCUGCCCCAGCUCGAUGCGGCGUUGGGCGCGCGAGGAGGGAAGGGGGUGACGGAGAGGGGACGGAGGGGUGUUCGCCUCUCCCCCCCCCAGCCGCUCGCCCGGCGUGCGACUCCUUGCGGGGAGCACUGUCAGCGUCCCCGAGGCUUUGCUCCUGACAGACCGUGCCCAUCUCCCCACAAACCGUCUUUGCCUGGCAGACCUCGAGCUCCUGGAGACGAGCGUCGGCCGUUGUCGUAACCGACUGCCUGUGCCGGGCUGGAGCCCGUGGGGCUGGGUCACACCUCCCCCAAGGCCUUCGGCGGCUUGACCGGUACAAUCAUCUCCCAUGCGGAUGGAGGUCAGAGAGCCCUUUAAAACCUAGCUGGGCAUUGCUAAAACUGAAGCUUGUGGCCAGGAUUGUGAUCUGAGACUCCUGAAUACCAGUAAAUGACCUACAGUAUCUCUUCACACAAAAGAGCAUCAGGUGUUGGCUUGACAAUAACAAAGCAAGAAGACAGUGUUCCUUAUGCUUACAUAAACAAUAUAAAGUAUCCACUUGCGCUGCAGCACCCUGGGGCACAUCCUCUCACAACUGGAUCAGAGAUACUGAAUGCCAAUGGGUGGAGUAAUACACUGAGCCUUGAAGAAUGCUGCUAGCAGUGUUUUCGGAGUUUGAGAAAUGCCGAGAGUUAUCACCUCCUCCUCACGGUCUGUGCUAAGAGCAGGGGUAUUGCAGUUUACCAUUAUGGUAAACAUUCUUGGGAGAAGGACAAUCGUGUCCGGUGAUCAAAUAUACACAGAUGCCACAAAAAGCAUUUGUAAACUUAGAAAUAAAGAGUAGUCCGACUUUAGUCUCUAGUCCAGCUUCCCACAAAGCAGGCUUAUUGUUAGCACAGAUUAGGUCUGCUGUGGCUUCAUGUAAACAAAUGUAAUUGUGUAGUAAUGUGGAAUAUCUAAACUUGGCAUAGUGUGAGUGUAUGGGUACAUUAAAAUACUGCUAACCAUAA